rnacentral:rRNA from 1 species
AGAGUUUGAUUCUGGCUCAGGAUGAACGCUGGCGGCGUGCUUAACACAUGCAAGUCGAACGGAGUUUUAACGGAAGUUUCGGAUGGAAGUUAAAACUAGUGGCGGACGGGUGAGUAACGCGUGGGUAACCUGCCUCAUACAGGGGGAUAACAGUUAGAAAUGACUGCUAACACCGCAUAAUAUAGCGAAACCGCAUGAUUUUGCUAUCAAAUAUUUAUAGGUAUGAGAUGGGCCCGCGUCUGAUUAGCUAGUUGGUGGGGUAAAAGCCUACCAAGGCGACGAUCAGUAGCCGGCUUGAGAGAGUGACCGGCCACAUUGGGACUGAGACACGGCCCAAACUCCUACGGGAGGCAGCAGUGGGGAAUAUUGGACAAUGGGGGAAACCCUGAUCCAGCGACGCCCGCGUGAGUGAAGAAGUAUUUCAGUAUGUAAAGCUCUAUCAGCAGGGAAGAUAAUGACAGUACCUGACUAAGAAGCCCCGGCUAACUACGUGCCAGCAGCCGC